GUUGCCUCAAGACCUGAAAAUGAAUGAGCAUCAUCCCUUAAAGUGUUAACACGGAAGCAUUAAUAAACCAAGAACAAUGAGAUAAAUCCUGUUUGCACAUCAUUUCCACUGCGUCACUCUUCCUUGUCUACAUUCUGAAGAAAUCGCACUGAAAACAUAUCUAAAUAUUCAUACUCUUUUUGAGCUUAAAUUUCAGUGGCCAAUUUCAUACUAUAUUGGAAAGUUUUGUCUAAUAAGAGCCUGACCUGUGUAUCCUGUAUAGAUUUUCGCCAGCAGAGGGUAUUGUCCUGAGUGCCAGCAUUUUGGGGGAUGGUGAACUGUAUCAGCUGAGGAGCUAUAGUCUAUCAGUUAGGAGCAUUAUUCCUUUGUCUUGGAUAUACUUAUGUUCAAAAGCAAUUUCUUCUCCCUCAAGAACUCAUUAAAUGUAUUCACCAAA
rnacentral:lncRNA from 1 species